UAUGAUCAAAGACUACUGUUGAGUUCAG
rnacentral:sRNA from 1 species